rnacentral:tRNA from 1 species
UGGGGAUUAACAUAAUUUUAAUGUAUUUCAUUUACAUUGAGAAAAUAAUUAUUUAUAUAUAAUUAUCCUUGA